rnacentral:rRNA from 1 species
UACGUAGGGGGCAAGCGUUGUCCGGAUUUACUGGGCGUAAAGAGCGUGUAGGCGGCCAAGCAGGUCCGUUGUGAAAACUGGAGGCUUAACCUCCAGACGUCGACGGAAACCGCGUGGCUAGAGUCCGGAAGAGGCGAGUGGAACUCCUGGUGUAGCGGUGGAAUGCGCAGAUAUCAGGAAGAACACCAACGGCGAAGGCAGCUCGCUGGGACGGUACUGAUGCUGAGACGCGAAAGCGUGGGGAGCGAACAGG